AGAGUUUGAUCCUGGCUCAGGAUGAACGCUGGCGGCGUGCCUAAUACAUGCAAGUCGAGCGAACGGACGAGAAGCUUGCUUCUCUGAUGUUAGCGGCGGACGGGUGAGUAACACGUGGAUAACCUACCUAUAAGACUGGGAUAACUUCGGGAAACCGGAGCUAAUACCGGAUAAUAUUUUGAACCGCAUGGUUCAAAAGUGAAAGACGGUCUUGCUGUCACUUAUAGAUGGAUCCGCGCUGCAUUAGCUAGUUGGUAAGGUAACGGCUUACCAAGGCAACGAUGCAUAGCCGACCUGAGAGGGUGAUCGGCCACACUGGAACUGAGACACGGUCCAGACUCCUACGGGAGGCAGCAGUAGGGAAUCUUCCGCAAUGGGCGAAAGCCUGACGGAGCAACGCCGCGUGAGUGAUGAAGGUCUUCGGAUCGUAAAACUCUGUUAUUAGGGAAGAACAUAUGUGUAAGUAACUGUGCACAUCUUGACGGUACCUAAUCAGAAAGCCACGGCUAACUACGUGCCAGCAGCCGCGGUAAUACGUAGGUGGCAAGCGUUAUCCGGAAUUAUUGGGCGUAAAGCGCGCGUAGGCGGUUUUUUAAGUCUGAUGUGAAAGCCCACGGCUCAACCGUGGAGGGUCAUUGGAAACUGGAAAACUUGAGUGCAGAAGAGGAAAGUGGAAUUCCAUGUGUAGCGGUGAAAUGCGCAGAGAUAUGGAGGAACACCAGUGGCGAAGGCGACUUUCUGGUCUGUAACUGACGCUGAUGUGCGAAAGCGUGGGGAUCAAACAGGAUUAGAUACCCUGGUAGUCCACGCCGUAAACGAUGAGUGCUAAGUGUUAGGGGGUUUCCGCCCCUUAGUGCUGCAGCUAACGCAUUAAGCACUCCGCCUGGGGAGUACGACCGCAAGGUUGAAACUCAAAGGAAUUGACGGGGACCCGCACAAGCGGUGGAGCAUGUGGUUUAAUUCGAAGCAACGCGAAGAACCUUACCAAAUCUUGACAUCCUUUGACAACUCUAGAGAUAGAGCCUUCCCUUCGGGGGACAAAGUGACAGGUGGUGCAUGGUUGUCGUCAGCUCGUGUCGUGAGAUGUUGGGUUAAGUCCCGCAACGAGCGCAACCCUUAAGCUUAGUUGCCAUCAUUAAGUUGGGCACUCUAAGUUGACUGCCGGUGACAAACCGGAGGAAGGUGGGGAUGACGUCAAAUCAUCAUGCCCCUUAUGAUUUGGGCUACACACGUGCUACAAUGGACAAUACAAAGGGCAGCGAAACCGCGAGGUCAAGCAAAUCCCAUAAAGUUGUUCUCAGUUCGGAUUGUAGUCUGCAACUCGACUACAUGAAGCUGGAAUCGCUAGUAAUCGUAGAUCAGCAUGCUACGGUGAAUACGUUCCCGGGUCUUGUACACACCGCCCGUCACACCACGAGAGUUUGUAACACCCGAAGCCGGUGGAGUAACCUUUUAGGAGCUAGCCGUCGAAGGUGGGACAAAUGAUUGGGGUGAAGUCGUAACAAGGUAGCCGUAUCGGAAGGUGCGGCUGGAUCACCU
rnacentral:rRNA from 1 species